CCAAAUUAGGGAAAUCUUAAAAUUCUUUGCCUUUUUAUUUUUGGCUACAACAGUUACCUCCGUCCCUUUCCUAUUUUUUUGGUCAAGAAAAUAAAAGCCCCACCACCCUCACCAGAAAAACCAUCUCUGGUGAUUACAAACAACUACAAAGUCCCCCUAUUAUAAUAUUUUUCUCGAUAGGCUACCACUGCUCAAACAAACCACCCCAUUCUGCUCCACCUCUUCCUCAUCCAUCAAAUACCACCAAACUCUAUUCAACAAUCAAUAAAACAUAAAAUCUUCUCUGUCACCCUUUUUUUCACUUAUUUUUGUUACUCUGGCAAAGCCAAGAAAGUAAUGAGCUCCGGUGAACUCAACUAUCAAUACAGCAGCAAGCAUAAAUGAACCAUAAAGCUCUGAAACCAAAAAAAAACUAGAACAGUUUCAACUCCACUAGAAAUGAUGGACCAUCACUGCAUUGGUUAACUUUUCUUUUAGAUUUAACCAGACAGACCAGUGAACUCCGAC
rnacentral:lncRNA from 1 species